GCCUGAAAAAGGCAAACCAUUCGAAAGGAUGGGGCGCAAAACCACUGGUCUAAAUCCCGGAAAUUCGGGACAUGACAGCAGGGCUGCCGGG
rfam:Pelobacter propionicus DSM 2379, complete genome.